GACGGGGGCCCGCACGAGCGGAGGAACAUGUGGUUUAAUUCGAUGAUACGCGAGGAACCUUACCCGGGCUUGAACUGCAUAUGACAUAUUGAGAGAUCAUUAUUCCCUUCGGGGCAUAUGUGGAGGUGCUGCAUGGUUGUCGUCAGCUCGUGCCGUGAGGUGUCGGCUUAAGUGCCAUAACGAGCGCAACCCCUUCCUUCAGUUGCCAUCGGGUCAUGCCGGGCACUCUGUAGGGACUGCCGCCGUAAGGUGUGAGGAAGGCGGGGAUGACGUCAAAUCAGCACGGCCCUUACGUCCGGGGCUACACACGUGUUACAAUGGGGGGUACAGCGGGAUGCCACCGCGCAAGCGGGCGCCGAUCCUGAAAUCCCUCCGUAGUUCGGAUUGGGGUCUGCAACCCGACCCCAUGAAGCUGGAUUCGCUAGUAAUCGCGCAUCAGCCAUGGCGCGGUGAAUACGUUCCCGGGCCUUGUACACACCGCCCGUCAAGCCAUGAAAGCCGGGAGUACCUGAAGUGCGUAACCUGAAGGAGCGCCCUAGGGCAAGACCGGUGAUUGGGGCUAAGUCGUAACAAGGUAGGCCGUACCGAAA
rnacentral:rRNA from 1 species